AGGGACACGAGUUGCAUGCAGGAGCAGAGAGCAAGGCAAAGCCACCUCUCCACAAAGCACACCUGCACAGAUGCCAGUGCAGUGUGCCAGGACUUCCCCGUCCCCCUUAAUGAGCCUGCAAGACAAGCACAGGCCCAGGAGCCAUGAGGGUACUGGCAAGUUCCUGCAGCUGCAAAGGUGCUGACCCCCACCCCGAGGGCACCUGCUGUGCCCCAGCUCCCCCAGACCCAGGAGCAGGUGCUGGGCUGCUGCACCUCCAGGCAAGGCCAGUGCUGACCCACCCCUGACAUUGUGUUUUGUGACUUUGUUUUUGUAUCAAGCUUAAACAGCGCAGCAGGCUUUGCCAUUGCUCCCACGGGAUUAAUGUCACCACACUGCAGCAAGGCCAGGAGUGCUCCCCUGAGAACUGAGGGCCAGCUGGCUCUGCCCCAGGCUGUGGGCACUGCCUGCUGUGUGCAGUCAGUCACACUGGCUCAGCAACACACUCCUAAGAAAAGCAUCCCCUGUCACCCUACAAUCCACAGGGCCUCAACCCAUGCAAAAACCUCUUAUUUUUUUUCAUAGAAUUCAGGUGUGGUCCUGACUGCCCCAGGAAACUGCAAAGCCAUUCAGAAACAGGAGCCAGUUGAGGCCUGAAAUGCAGCCAGGCCGGGGAAUAUCUUGCUGAGCAAAUUCCAAGCAGUGUUGGAGGCGGCUCACACCUCCAGACAUGAACAGAAAUUUAAUUGUCUUCAUUAUGUGCCUUACAGGGAACCGACCUUUGUUCCACACCUCCCUGAGCCCUGCAGGCUGCCUUCUAUUUUAAGACUGGACUUGUCAUACCCAAUUCUCUUCAGCAUGACGUUUUCUGCUUGCUGAGAAGAUGCAGUUUAUUAAAAAUUGGGUCAUUUCUAUUUGGCAGUCAAAUGAA